CAGCCGCCGCGGGAAGACAGAGGAUGCAAGCGUUAUCUGGAAUGAUUGGGCGUAAAGCGUGCGCAGGCGGUUAUAUAAGACAGAUGUGAAAUCCCCGGGCUCAACCUGGGAACUGCAUUUGUGACUGUAUAGCUAGAGUACGGCAGAGGGGGAUGGAAUUCCGCGUGUAGCAGUGAAAUGCGUAGAUAUGCGGAGGAACACCGAUGGCGAAGGCAAUCCCCUGGGCCUGUACUGACGCUCAUGCACGAAAGCGUGGGGAGCAAACAGGAUUAGAGACCCCCGUAGUCCCUGUCUCUUAUAA
rnacentral:rRNA from 1 species